rnacentral:snoRNA from 1 species
AAACAAUAAUGAGAAUUGCCAAAUCUGAGGAUUCCAGAGU